rnacentral:rRNA from 1 species
AUGUUGCAAAACAAAAAUGGAAGUUGUCCCCCAGCAAAAGUAAAAAAACACGGAUGUAGCAAAAAAUCAAGCUCGUUCCAGCAAACCAGAAAGUCAGUGGUAGCAAAACAAAGCACCUGUGGUGGCAAAAAAGAGUAUUGCUUCCAGCAAAACCAAACGCUUGUGGUAGCAAAAAGGAUUAAUGGUUCCAACAUCAGGGAACACUGGUUCCAGCAUUAUCGCAUGCCGGCGCAGCUCCGAGAUGAACGGCAAGAAAAGAAACAGCAAUCUCCUUUCCCAAGAGCAGAGCGUGCGUGCUGCAUGUGCUUGAGCCCAACCUCGUGGGAUCCAUGGCGGACUGCACAUGGCAUGAGAGAGAACGUAAAAAAAGCAAGAAUGAGCUGA